rnacentral:rRNA from 1 species
AUUGAACGCUGGCGGCAUGCCUUACACAUGCAAGUCGAACGGCAGCACGGGAGCAAUCCUGGUGGCGAGUGGCGAACGGGUGAGUAAUGUAUCGGAACGUGCCCAGUCGUGGGGGAUAACGUAGCGAAAGCUACGCUAAUACCGCAUACGAUCUAUGGAUGAAAGCGGGGGACCGUAAGGCCUCGCGCGAUUGGAGCGGCCGAUAUCAGAUUAGGUAGGUGGUGGGGUAAAGGCCUACCAAGCCGACGAUCUGUAGCUGGUCUGAGAGGACGACCAGCCACACUGGGACUGAGCCACGGGACAGACUCCUACGGGAGGCAGCAGUGGGGAAGUAUGGACAAUGGGCGCAAGCCUGAUCCAGCAAUGCCGCGUGCAGGAUGAAGGCCUUCGGGUUGUAAACUGCUUUUGUACGGAGCGAAAAGGCUCUCUCUAAUACAGGGGGCUCAUGACGGUACCGUAAGAAUAAGCACCGGCUAACUACGUGCCAGCCGCCGCGGUAAUAC